rnacentral:rRNA from 1 species
UAACGCGAAAGGGACUUCGGUCCUGAGUAAUGUGGCGCACGGGUGAGUAACGCGUGGAUAAUCUACCCGACGGACCGGGAUAACAUUUCGAAAGGGGUGCUAAUACCGGAUAAGACCACGGCUUCUUAGGGGGCUGCGGUAAAAGGUGGGGACCUUCGGGCCUACCGUCAUCGGAUGAGUCCGCGUACCAUUAGCUAGUUGGUAGGGUAAGGGCCUACCAAGGCGACGAUGGUUAGCUGGUCUGAGAGGAUGAUCAGCCAUACUGGAACUGAGACACGGUCCAGACUCCUACGGGAGGCAGCAGUGGGGAAUUUUGCGCAAUGGGGGAAACCCUGACGCAGCAACGCCGCGUGAGUGAUGAACGCCUUCGGGUCGUACAGCUCUGUCAGAGGGGAAGAAAUGCAGGGGUGCUAAUAUCAUCUUUGCUUGACGGUACCCUCAAAGGAAGCACCGGCUAACUCCGUGCCAGCAGCCGCGGUAAUACGGAGGGUGCGAGCG